GGUCCCGUAGUGUAGCGGUUAUCACGUCGCCCUGUCACGGCGAAGAUCGCGGGUUCGAUUCCCGUCGGGGCCG
rnacentral:tRNA from 1 species